GUACUCACUUUAUGAGCACAUAUACUAAAACUGGAUCAAUACAGUGAAGAUUAUUAAUAUGGCACAUAAGGAUGACACACAAAUUUGUGAUAUGUUCUAUAUUUUU